rnacentral:rRNA from 1 species
UACGAAGGGGGCUAGCGUUGCUCGGAAUCACUGGGCGUAAAGGGUGCGUAGGCGGGUUUUUAAGUCAGAGGUGAAAUCCUGGAGCUCAACUCCAGAACUGCCUUUGAUACUGAGGAUCUCGAGUCCGGGAGAGGUGAGUGGAACUCCGAGUGUAGAGGUGAAAUUCGUAGAUAUUCGGAAGAACACCAGUGGCGAAGGCGGCUCACUGGCCCGGUACUGACGCUGAGGUGCGAAAGCGUGGGGAGCAAACAGG